ACACCAACUGGCCACCAACAGAAAAAAAUUCAGAAAACAACAGAAUCGUAACUCACAUUGGCCCCCAGCUUUCAGCCUGCAUUCCACCAUCGUAUAAGUGAAGACCCGUCAGUAGAGACAAGGUUUCACUGUGUUAGCCAGUCUGGUCUCCAUCUCCUGACCUCGUGAUCCGCCCGCCUCGGCCUCCCAAAGUGCUGGGAUUACAUGCAUGAGCCACUGCGCCCGGCCCAGCUGAAUCAUAUAAUGGAACAAGCCACACACCAGAAGGUAGAAUGUGGCAGUUCAGGCUACAGCAACCAUCUUGGAGGAAAAACUCAAGAGACGGGCAGCAGCGCUGGCUCUGAAGUGUCUGGAUCACGAAACUAAUUCCAACAACCAACUACAUCACAUAGGAAGAUCAUUCAGUAGAGCAAGGCGUCAAAGACUCAAGGACACAAUUUCAAAAACAGAAUGGACACCCAAGGAGGAUAAGUGAAAAAUCCAAUUUUGGCCAUCACCAUGACAUCUCAUUAUUGUUCCCUUUUGGGAGCUAACUCAGCACACACUCACUUUAUCUGACUCGUGUCGCUUGGAAGGGCAAG
ensembl:lncRNA LINC02216 long intergenic non-protein coding RNA 2216